AGAGUUUGAUCCUGGCUCAGAGUGAACGUUGGCGGCGUGCCUAACACAUGCAAGUCGAACGAGAACCGGGGGGCUUGCUCCCUGGGGACAGUGGCGAACGGGUGAGUAACACGUGGGCAAUCUGCCCUCGAGUGGGGAAUAACUCCGCGAAAGCGGGGCUAAUACCGCAUAAUACUCUGGUGCAUAUGCAUUCAGAGUCAAAGCCUUAGGGUGCUUGAGGAUGAGCUUGCGUCUUAUUAGCUAGUUGGUAGGGUAAUGGCCUACCAAGGCUUUGAUGAGUAGCCGGCCUGAGAGGGUGAUCGGCCACACUGGGACUGCGACACGGCCCAGACUCCUACGGGAGGCAGCAGUGGGGAAUUUUGCGCAAUGGGCGAAAGCCUGACGCAGCGACGCCGCGUGGAGGAUGACGGCCUUCGGGUUGUAAACUCCUGUCAGAGGUGAAGAAUGCACUUCGGUGUUUGACGGUACCUCAGAGGAAGCCCCGGCUAACUACGUGCCAGCAGCCGCGGUAAUACGUAGGGGGCUAACGUUGCUCGGAAUUACUGGGCGUAAAGGGUGUGUAGGUGGCAGUGCAAGUCGAAAAUGAAAGCCCAUGGCUCAACCAUGGAAUGGUUUUCGAAACUGCACAGCUUGAGGAUGGUUGAGGAAGGCGGAAUUCCCGGUGGAGCGGUGAAGUGCGUAGAUAUCGGGAGGAACACCAGAGGCGAAGGCGGCCUUCUGGGUCAUUCCGGACACUGAAACACGAAAGCUAGGGGAGCGAACGGGAUUAGAUACCCCGGUAGUCCUAGCCGUAAACGAUGGGCACUAGAUGUUUCUGCUUUAUGCGGGAGUGUCGAAGUUAGCGCAUUAAGUGCCCCGCCUGGGGAGUACGGUCGCAAGGCUGAAACUCAAAGGAAUUGACGGGGGCCCGCACAAGCGGUGGAGCAUGUGGUUUAAUUCGACACAACGCGAAAAACCUUACCUGGGCUUGAACAGCUGGACGUAAGAACCAGAGAUGGUAAUGACCCUGCUUGCAGGGAACCAGUAGAGGUGCUGCAUGGCUGUCGUCAGCUAGUGUCGUGAGAUGUUGGGUUAAGUCCCGCAACGAGCGCAACCCUUACCUCUAGUUGCCAGCGAGUAAUGUCGGGCACUCUAAGGGGACUGCCUCGGAUAACGGGGAGGAAGGUGGGGACGACGUCAAGUCAGCAUGGCCUUUAUGUCCAGGGCUACACACGUGCUACAAUGGGCGGUACAGAGGGACGCAAGACCGCGAGGUGGAGCAAAUCCCUAAAACCGUUCUCAGUUCGGAUCGCAGGCUGCAAUUCGCCCGCGUGAAGCUGGAAUCGCUAGUAAUCGCGGAUCAGCAUUGCCGCGGUGAACACGUUCUCGGGCCUUGUACACACCGCCCGUCACAUCACGAAAGUUGGUCAUACCCGAAGUCACUGGGCUAACCCUCGGGAGGCAGGUGCCUAAGGUGUGGUCGAUGAUUGGGGUGAAGUCGUAACAAGGUA
rnacentral:rRNA from 1 species